AACGAACGCUGGCGGCAGGCUUAACACAUGCGAGUCGAACGCCCCGCAAGGGGAGUGGCCGACGGGUGAGUAACGCGUGGGAACAUACCCUUUUCUACGGAAUAGCUCUGGGAAACUGGAAUUAAUACCGUAUACGCCCUACGGGGGAAAGAUUUAUCGGGGAAGGAUUGGCCCGCGUUGGAUUAGCUAGUUGGUGGGGUAAAGGCCUACCAAGGCGACGAUCCAUAGCUGGUCUGAGAGGAUGAUCAGCCACAUUGGGACUGAGACACGGCCCAAACUCCUACGGGAGGCAGCAGUGGGGAAUAUUGGACAAUGGGCGCAAGCCUGAUCCAGCCAUGCCGCGUGAGUGAUGAAGGCCUUAGGGUUGUAAAGCUCUUUCACCGAUGAAGAUAAUGACGGUAGUCGGAGAAGAAGCCCCGGCUAACUUCGUG
rnacentral:rRNA from 1 species